UCGGACGGCAGCACAGAGAAGCUUGCUUCUUGGGUGGCGAGUGGCGAACGGGUGAGUAACAUAUCGGAACGUACCGAGCAGUGGGGGAUAACUAAUCGAAAGAUUAGCUAAUACCGCAUAUUUUCUGAGGAAGAAAGCAGGGGACCAUUUGGCCUUGCGCUGUUUGAGCGGCCGAUAUCUGAUUAGCUAGUUGGUGGGGUAAAGGCCUACCAAGGCGACGAUCAGUAGCGGGUCUGAGAGGAUGAUCCGCCACACUGGGACUGAGACACGGCCCAGACUCCUACGGGAGGCAGCAGUGGGGAAUUUUGGACAAUGGGCGCAAGCCUGAUCCAGCCAUGCCGCGUGUCUGAAGAAGGCCUUCGGGUUGUAAAGGACUUUUGUCAGGGAAGAAAAGGGCGGGGUUAAUACCCCUGUCUGAUGACGGUACCUGAAGAAUAAGCACCGGCUAACUACGUGCCAGCAGCCGCGGUAAUACGUAGGGUGCGAGCGUUAAUCGGAAUUACUGGGCGUAAAGCGGGCGCAGACGGUUACUUAAGCAGGAUGUGAAAUCCCCGGGCUCAACCUGGGAACUGCGUUCUGAACUGGGUGACUAGAGUGUGUCAGAGGGAGGUAGAAUUCCACGUGUAGCAGUGAAAUGCGUAGAGAUGUGGAGGAAUACCGAUGGCGAAGGCAGCCUCCUGGGAUAACACUGACGUUCAUGCCCGAAAGCGUGGGUAGCAAACAGGAUU
rnacentral:rRNA from 1 species